AAUGCCUGACACAGCAAAAGAGAAGAGCGAAAUUUAACCAAUGAGCUCUCUCUUCCGAAUCUGGCGGAUACGACUCCCAGCAUGACAUACCAAAACAACUCAUAAAACAGCAUAAAAUAUGUUUUUUGUUUUGGUUUAUAGGAUCGCGGACAGAUCAUUGUUGUGGACUGUUUGAGUUUUAAAAGAAAAGUGUCGAAGGGCGAAGGAUUGAGGCAACAAAAAAAUACGCACUGCUUUACGGUACCUGGUCCCCCGACAACGACCAACCAAGCGGCGGCGGACGUGGUACGGAGGACGCUUCUAGAAACCUUAAAAAAAGAGCGCGCCAUCCGCUUUAUGGUUAUGAAGCAGGUCGUCUGGGCCGCUUGGGACAACGUGUCCGAGAAUACAAAAAUGCACGAGCUGCUGAGACUAGUGUUUCUGAGGCCACCGGAGCGGGCGGAAACAUAGAGGUUGCGGCGGUUAAGGGGUUACAGUUUUAAAAUAAAAUUAAGUGUGUGCUCACACCAACCUCUGACUUUUUUUAUCGAUUUACAUGUAUGUAACCCCUUAAGUUCCCGGUGCUUUUACGUCGAGGUGCGUUUGGUCAUUGUUUCUUGAGGGGCGAAAAACUACAAAUUGCACUUAAGGAACUCUCGACUCGAUGAUUUCCGUACGACACAAAAAUAUCUGAUCACGCUGCAAGAGACGAAUAGUUUCAUGAAGAAUUGAUCACCAAGCGGAUCCAGUCGGACAAACCGUACAUUAUUAUGGGUUACAAAGGCUCUGCCGAAGCGCUCCGAUAACGACGUGUUGUUCCUGACUACGCAGGGCAUCGUCCAGCUGGAGCAGCGCCACCGUAACGGAAUACGCGGUCGCAUGGCGGAUGUGCAAUAUCUGUCAGUACUACGCCGUGAUUUUUCAGUUCCAGCAUGGACACUACGACAAGUGCGUCGCGGCUUCGUCGUCGUGAUGAUCUUUUCUCACAGCCAGCCAUAAACGACCUGGUUUUACGGAGGAAUUGGCUGCUAAUCUGAGCGAACUUACCUCGCUGAAGAAUCGCUUGUGACUCUUCGCGCUCGACAGGUCCUAAUAGCUGCUCAUCAGCCAGCUUAAGAACUACGUCAUAACCAGAUAAAGUCCAUCUGUCUGUCUAAGAGCACGAAAACCUGCAGUGGUUGAUCUUUUCGGAUGUUCCCAUCUUGGAUAUUCCGCACGACUAUCUUUCUACCUCUGUUAUCGUGCAGUCUGCAAUGCAAUGAUGGAUUACGUCCAUUGGGCGUUUUUUUUUUUGUUUGGCAGUUUAGCGGCGUUCGAUUCAUACGAGCACUUUACCCAGUACUCGGAUGAGAUCCUGGACUUGCACGGGGACAUGACUUCGAGGCGUUCGUUAACCUGAAGAUGCUGGAGGUGGUAAAUGCGCGCGGACCGCCGCAUAAGCACCUCGAUCAACGCGAUUGAUUCCAGUUUUGUGCGACUUGCGCUCUUCAAAUCCCAAGCCUCACCCGUCGGCCAAGCAACAGCCGUAGAACCCGUUCGGAGAUCCAACCCCUGAGAUCGGAAUAAUUCUUUGGCGAAGAGCAAGUUCCUCAGGGCAGCUUCUGAAUCAACAUCUUGCAUCCUUCGUUACCGCAGGUUCAACCGAUCGCUCACCCCCGAUCCGUCGUUGUUCUCCCCGGAGUACAUCGUCAUCGACGGAGGUUACUCGACGCAUCUGUCGAAGCAAGUUAGCCAGGACCAUGCGGCCGAUACAACGCGACCAACCCGAACGCGGUCACCGAAACUCAUCUGGACAUCUUCAAAGCUGGUGCCGAUUACAUCGUGAUCAACACGUACCUCUAUCGCAUGACCAUCCCGUGUCAAUCAGAUUGCUAUUAGAUUUCGUUCCAGUGCAAAAAUGGCGACCAAACAUGUACAAUAUGUUGCGCCAACAUGAAAGUCAAUGAAUUUAGUUAUACAUUUUACAAAUCAUAACCUUACGAAAAAUACAGUCAAAAAUCGUGAA